rnacentral:rRNA from 1 species
UACAGAGGGGGCAAGCGUUAUUCGGAAUUAUUGGGCGUAAAGGGCGCGUAGGCGGCCAUUCAAGUGACGGGUGAAAGCCCUCGGCUUAACCGAGGAACUGCCUGUCAGACUGGAUGGCUUGAGACCGGGAGAGGUGAGUGGAAUUCCCAGUGUAGCGGUGAAAUGCGUAGAUAUUGGGAGGAACACCAGUGGCGAAGGCGGGUCUCUGGACAGUUCCUGACACUGAGACACGAAGGCCAGGGGAGCAAACGGG